GGCUGGUGGAUAGCUCAGUCUGUAGAGCAUGAGACUCAAUCUCAAUCCCAUGGGUUCAAGCCCCACAGUGGGCA